rnacentral:rRNA from 1 species
GAUGAACGCUGGCGGCGUGCUUAACACAUGCAAGUCGAACGGUGAACUUGGGAGCUUGCUCCCGGGGGAUCAGUGGCGAACGGGUGAGUAACACGUGAGUAACCUGCCCCAGACUCUGGGAUAAGCGUUGGAAACGACGUCUAAUACCGGAUACGAGCUUCAGCCGCAUGGCUAGGAGCUGGAAAGAAUUUCGGUCUGGGAUGGACUCGCGGCCUAUCAGCUAGUUGGUGAGGUAACGGCUCACCAAGGCGACGACGGGUAGCCGGCCUGAGAGGGUGACCGGCCACACUGGGACUGAGACACGGCCCAGACUCCUACGGGAGGCAGCAGUGGGGAAUAUUGCACAAUGGGCGCAAGCCUGAUGCAGCAACGCCGCGUGAGGGACGACGGCCUUCGGGUUGUAAACCUCUUUUAGUAGGGAAGAAGCGAAAGUGACGGUACCUGCAGAAAAAGCACCGGCUAACUACGUGCCAGCAGCCGCGGUAAUACGUAGGGUGCAAGCGUUAUCCGGAAUUAUUGGGCGUAAAGAGCUCGUAGGCGGUUUGUCGCGUCUGCUGUGAAAACCCGAGGCUCAACCUCGGGCCUGCAGUGGGUACGGGCAGACUAGAGUGCGGUAGGGGAGAUUGGAAUUCCUGGUGUAGCGGUGGAAUGCGCAGAUAUCAGGAGGAACACCGAUGGCGAAGGCAGAUCUCUGGGCCGUAACUGACGCUGAGGAGCGAAAGCAUGGGGAGCGAACAGGAUUAGAUACCCUGGUAGUCCAUGCCGUAAACGUUGGGAACUAGAUGUAGGGACCAUUCCACGGUUUCUGUGUCGCAGCUAACGCAUUAAGUUCCCCGCCUGGGGAGUACGGCCGCAAGGCUAAAACUCAAAGGAAUUGACGGGGGCCCGCACAAGCGGCGGAGCAUGCGGAUUAAUUCGAUGCAACGCGAAGAACCUUACCAAGGCUUGACAUAUACCGGAAAAGUUCAGAAAUGUUCUCCCCGCAAGGUCGGUAUACAGGUGGUGCAUGGUUGUCGUCAGCUCGUGUCGUGAGAUGUUGGGUUAAGUCCCGCAACGAGCGCAACCCUCGUUCUAUGUUGCCAGCACGUAAUGGUGGGAACUCAUAGGAGACUGCCGUGGUCAACACGGAGGAAGGUGGGGAUGACGUCAAAUCAUCAUGCCCCUUAUGUCUUGGGCUUCACGCAUGCUACAAUGGCCGAUACAAAGGGCUGCAAUACCGUAAGGUGGAGCGAAUCCCAAAAAGUCGGUCUCAGUUCGGAUUGAGGUCUGCAACUCGACCUCAUGAAGUCGGAGUCGCUAGUAAUCGCAGAUCAGCAACGCUGCGGUGAAUACGUUCCCGGGCCU